rnacentral:lncRNA from 1 species
CAGGGACCGACCUCCCUUCCAAGAAAUGGAAGACUUCCGACAAGGAGAACCUUCCAUAUUUCCGAAUAUGGAAGAGUUAAACCUAAACCAAACCAACUUCAAGACGACUAUAUAAGAGUUCCUAAAUCCCUGAUGCAAGGGAUCGACUUCUCCAAGGCUUAGAGAUUAGAACUAGACGGCUAGAAUUAGGGUUCUUACCUGAUACCUUGUAACCUCGCUUGUUCUUUCUUGUUCUAUCUUAUAAAAGUCUCUUCAAGCCUAUAUCUUCGUUAUCUUACUAAAUCCCCACGAAACAUAC